rnacentral:rRNA from 1 species
UACGAAGGGGGCUAGCGUUGCUCGGAAUUACUGGGCGUAAAGCGCACGUAGGCGGCUUAGCAAGUCGGAUGUGAAAUCCCUCGGCUCAACCAAGGAAGUGCAUCCGAAACUGCUGAGCUUGAGUACUUAAGAGGAUCGCGGAAUUCCCGGUGUAGAGGUGAAAUUCGUAGAUAUCGGGAGGAACACCAGUGGCGAAGGCGGCUACCUGGACCGGUUCUGACGCUGAUGCGCGAAAGCGUGGGUAGCAAACAGG